UACAGAGGGUGCGAGCGUUAAUCGGAAUUACUGGGCGUAAAGCGCACGUAGGUGGCGACGUAAGUCGGGUGUGAAAGCCCCGGGCUCAACCUGGGAAUUGCAUUCGAGACUGCAUUGCUGGAGUACGGAAGAGGAGGGCGGAAUUCCCGGUGUAGCGGUGAAAUGCGUAGAUAUCUGGAGGAACACCGGUGGCGAAGGCGGCAUCCUGGACCGGCAUUGACGCUGAGGCGCGAAAGCCAGGGGAGCAAACGGG
rnacentral:rRNA from 1 species